rnacentral:rRNA from 1 species
CCUACGGGAGGCAGCAGUGGGGAAUAUUGGGCAAUGGGCGCAAGCCUGACCCAGCAACGCCGCGUGAAGGAAGAAGGCUUUCGGGUUGUAAACUUCUUUUUUCAGGGAAGAGUAGAAGACGGUACCUGACGAAUAAGCCACGGCUAACUACGUGCCAGCAGCCGCGGUAAUACGUAGGUGGCAAGCGGUGUCCGGAUUUACUGGGUGUAAAGGGCGUGUAGCCGGGUUGACAAGUCAGAUGUGAAAUCCUGCGGCUUAACCGCAGAACUGCAUUUGAAACUGUUGAUCUUGAGUACUGGAGAGGCAGACGGAAUGCCUGGUGUAGCGGUGAAAUGCGUAGAUAUUAGGAGGAACACCAGUGGCGAAGGCGGUCUGCUGGACAGCAACUGACGGUGAGGCGCGAAAGCGUGGGGAGCAAACAGGAUUAGAUACCCCAGUAGUC